CCCCCCCCAGAGGAAACGAGUCCAGGCCAAGGUCCAACCUCACGCAGCAAAGCCUGUUUUUAGAUCCACCUCCUCGUGACAGUUCUUUUUCAGGUCCUGAAGCCUUGUUCAGCAAUGUUGUUACACUGUGGAAAGACCUGCUUUAAAGCACUGUAGCUGUCAGGUUUUGAUUACAGCAAAGGUUGUUGAUGCCACAAAGGCCGCGACUUUAAAUCUCGUCUGUUUUGACGUGAGGCGCCCCGAUGCAAAGUUUAGCUAAGAUCCAUGCUGUCACUGUGUAUCCCCGCACUGCCUGAUAACCACUAGCUUCAAAAAGUCAUUGCAUCAGCCCUGUGCAAAGUCUGAACUCUUCCAGGAAAAGCAGAUCAAUAAAUAACGGACAGAAAAGAUCAAAGAGAAAAAAAAAUCUGUCUGUCCAACGUGACCUACAGCAAGACUGUGUUCUCCUUCAGUUUCGGGUCAACUUUGUGGCUCACGAUGGCCUGAACUCAGAGGAUUGCGGGUUGUCCGGAUGCUUCUCGCUCUUCCCAGAGCGCAUCUCACCUCGCUCGUCGAGCCUACUCAUUCUGAAACCACUCAUUUUAAAGCACCACUCAGCUAGCUCAUCUGUUCGCCGCGGGGAUGAAACAGAGAAGAUGGCUGACAAAUGACUCUGAGCGUCUGUGCUGAGCUGUGGCUCGUUGUGCCGCAGCUUCUCCAAGACUUCAGACAGACUUUGAGACUGUUGAGCAGCCCACUUAUGAAAACUCUUUUCAUCCACUAACUGUAGCUACAGUAGGGAGUAGAUUUCUUUUUGGGCUCAGUCAAUUUUGCACUGAGCAUCAAUAGUGGAACUUUGCAUCUCACACUAGGCUCACUUGAUUUUCUCUCUUCAUUACUACUUAAGUAAUGGUUUAGUGACUUUUGGAAAAACCUCGCUGUCAUCCUGAACUGGGAUGAAAUUGGGGGGAAAAAAAGAAAAGAAAGCAACGAUCAAUCAAACCUGAUGAGGUUACUGUUUGUCUUUGAUAAUUUGUGUCUUAUUUUGAUUUUAUUUUGUGCAUUUGUUUCUCUCUGUCAAGAAUGAUUUUUUUUUUUGUUAAUAACAUUCCAAUUAGUUUUUUUUGAUUGGUUGUUAGUGGGGUUUUUUCUGUAGAAAAUGUAAGAUUUUAUACAUUUGUGUUGUGUGUUCACCUCUAGUUGAGUGUGUUAACAAGCCAUGCUGGACAUGUACACAUUAAAAAUUGCUCUGAAAAAUAUUGAAA